AGAGUAAAAUAGUACGUGAAAUUGUUGAAAGGGAAACGAUUGAAGUCAGUCGUACCGACGAGAAAUCAGCUCUUUGAGUGCGAACUUGUGGGCGUGCGUGAGUCUUUAACGGGCCUCGCUGUUUGCAAUUUUGUGCUUUUUGGGUGUACUUUUUCGUAUGGUAGGCCAACGUCAGUUUUGAUCACCGUAAAAUGAUCGGAGGAAUGUAGCUUCGAUCUCGUAUUGAAGUGUUAUAGCCUCUGGUAGAUGCGGUGACCGAAACUGAGGAUUGCAACGAAUACCCUUUUGGGCUAUCCGUCUGGCCUCUGAAAGUUGCUUAGGUGCCGAAAGCGUGCUUACGGCUAUUUAAGUUGACGGUCAACAGGUUAGAACGAUCAAAAAUUUGCUAAGGAUGCUGACGUAAUGGCUUUAAACGACC
rnacentral:rRNA from 1 species